UCUUAUUGUUUUACAAGGUUGAGGAGA
rnacentral:piRNA from 1 species